UUUGUACUCCCUCCGUCCCAAAAUUCUUGCCUUAAAUUUGUCUAAAUAUGGAUGUAUCUAGUUACAUUUUAGUGUUAGAUACAUCCAUAUCUAAACAAAUGUAAGACAAGAAUUUUGGGACGGAGGGAAUACUAC
rnacentral:pre_miRNA from 1 species